UGGGGAAUUUUGGACAAUGGGGGAAACCCUGAUCCAGCCAUCCCGCGUGUGCGAUGAAGGCCUUCGGGUUGUAAAGCACUUUUGGCAGGAAAGAAACGUCGCGGGUUAAUACCCCGCGAAACUGACGGUACCUGCAGAAUAAGCACCGGCUAACUACGUGCCAGCAGCCGCGGUAAUACGUAGGGUGCAAGCGUUAAUCGGAAUUACUGGGCGUAAAGCGUGCGCAGGCGGUUCGGAAAGAAAGAUGUGAAAUCCCAGAGCUUAACUUUGGAACUGCAUUUUUAACUACCGGGCUAGAGUGUGUCAGAGGGAGGUGGAAUUCCGCGUGUAGCAGUGAAAUGCGUAGAUGUGCGGAAGACACCGAUGGCGAAGGCAGCCUCCUGGGAUAACACUGACGCUCAUGCACGAAAGCGUGGGGAGCAAACAGGAUUAGAUACCCUGGUAGUCCACGCCCUAAACGAUGUCAACUAGCUGUUGGGGCCUUCGGGCCUUGGUAGCGCAGCUAACGCGUGAAGUUGACCGCCUGGGGAGUACGGUCGCAAGAUUAAAACUCAAAUGAA
rnacentral:rRNA from 1 species